AACGGUCUAUACCUGCGGUACCUGCGGAGGGAUCAUUACCAAUUUUAUAUGUUAGUUUGUGACUCUCCGUCAAACGAGGGCUCACACAACUACUACUGUAAACGUUGAACUAGAUCAUUGGUUGUGGAUUGCUUGGGAAUGGACGAAGCGACAAGCCUCUUCCGGACAGGCAAACCCCACACCGAUAACCUUUUCAUAUAUUACAACUAGUACAUACUACAAACACACAACAAACAAACA
rnacentral:misc_RNA from 1 species